rnacentral:rRNA from 1 species
UCCGUUGUGUGUUUCCCGUUCUCUGUAGUCGGAGCGCUGAAAGAUCCUAACCAGAUCUCUCUCAUUCCGACCUCUGUUCAGGUGAG